rnacentral:lncRNA from 1 species
CCAACCUCUUUGGGAGAAGUAUGAAUGCGUGUGUCUAAAUUAAAAGAAAAAAAUAUUUAAACGUUUUUUAACAAAAAUUUAUUUUUGUAUUUAAGCUAAAUUGCCUUUUAAAUUCCUUCAAGCUUGGUUCAUUGAGGUGGUUAAGUAUAAAUGCUAUUAACUAGGAAUUAGCUGUAUAGUUAAGUUAUGCCUGUGCAAAGAAGAGGCUCAAAUGCUGUCCCCGGCAGCUUUCCUGGGGGACUAGAGCUCCUUCUGGCCAUGUUAUAUGAAAUGUAAUUCUUAUUUUAUAAAUAAUGUGAUGUAAAUGUAACUGGUGCCCCCUCCCCGAUGUGACUGAGGGUGAGUGAGUGGUGGUGGGGCUGCUCCUUCCCACCCCUCAGAACAGCUCUGAUCCUCGUUAAUACCUGGCUGCGUGUGCAGCUGAGGAGGGAGUGAACCUCAAGCCUAAAUACCUGUUAGGAUUGGAGGGUCUGGGUGGGCCUGGGCCUAGCAAUCAAGCUUCUACCUGUACCUUAUGUAAGGUAGACCCUCCUAGUGUCAGCACCUGAGCUAGUUUACCUCAGUUCCGCAGGCAGGACAGCCGGUCC